GUUUCCUCUCGAUUUUGCCGUUAGAAGAAGACAUGGGAAGAGCUUCAUCCGCCGAGGCGUAACCGGCCGGGGUUUUGUUCAUAUCUUGUUCAUCUCUAUCUUCGCCGUCGAUCUUUGGAGUCUCCGCCGUCUGUUCAUAGUCAGACAGAUUGUUCAAACUCACGCACUUUCUCAUCGGGUCAAGCACAACCCUGACUCCGAACAGCAUAAUCUCUCUUCUUGUGCCGCUUCCAGCGC
rnacentral:sRNA from 1 species